UAGCAAUACGGAGUGGCAGACGGGUGAGUAACGCGUGGGAACCUUCCCAGUGGUACGGAAUAGCCCGGGGAAACCCGGAGUAAUACCGUAUACGCCCGAAAGGGGAAAGAUUUAUCGCCAUUGGAUGGGCCCGCGUCGGAUUAGCUAGUUGGUGAGGUAACGGCUCACCAAGGCGACGAUCCGUAGCUGGUCUGAGAGGAUGAUCAGCCACACUGGGACUGAGACACGGCCCAGACUCCUACGGGAGGCAGCAGUAGGGAAUAUUGGACAAUGGGCGAAAGCCUGAUCCAGCCAUGCCGCGUGAGUGACGAAGGCCUUCGGG
rnacentral:rRNA from 1 species